AGCCUAGGGAAAAUUAUCCUAGGUGAAACCUGCCCGGUGACUAGAUUUUAACGGCCGCGGUACUUUGACCGUGCUAAGGUAGCGUAAUCAGUUGACUUUUAAAUGAAGUCUUGUAUGAAUGGAUUUAUGGGAUUAAGCUGUCUCUUUUGUAUUCUAUUGAAAUUACUAAUUAGGUGAAAAGGCCUAUAAAUGAAAAAAGACGAGAAGACCCUUAGAGUUUUAAUAAUAGGUUUUUGUUGGGGCGACAAGAAGACAUAUAUAACUCUUCUAUUAGAAAGAUACUUGCCGGUUCUUUUAAGUGUGGAUAAACUACCUUAGGGAUAACAGCAU
rnacentral:rRNA from 1 species